rnacentral:rRNA from 1 species
UACGUAGGGGGCGAGCGUUGUCCGGAUUUAUUGGGCGUAAAGAGCUCGUAGGCGGUUUGGCAAGUCGGGUGUGAAAACUCCGGGCUCAACUCGGAGACGCCACUCGAUACUGCCAUGACUCGAGUCCGGUAGGGGAGUGCGGAAUUCCUGGUGUAGCGGUGAAAUGCGCAGAUAUCAGGAGGAACACCGGUGGCGAAGGCGGCACGCUGGGCCGGUACUGACGCUGAGGAGCGAAAGCGUGGGGAGCGAACAGG